rnacentral:lncRNA from 1 species
GGGAAAUAUAUUGAAACAAAAAUUGAAAUAAAACUGAUAUUUUUUAAAGUGUCAUGAUUUUUGACACAUCAAAAAAAAAAGGGUACAAUUUUUUUAUCUGACAUUCAUUCGUUUAAUAUACAAGGUCUAAUAGUUUAUGUGUGGAUUCAUUUAAAAAGGGUUUUUUGAAGAUUGCAUUGUUUAUGGUGAUUUUGGUUGUAAUAAUGGUUUAAAUUAGAAAUUUUGUG